GACGAACCGUGCGAACGUUAUUCGGAAUCACUGGGCUUAAAGGGUGCGUAGGCGGGUUGCCAAGUCUGUGGUGAAAUCCUCCAGCUUAACUGGAGAACUGCCGUGGAUACUGGCGACCUCGAGGGGUGUAGGGGCUUGCGGAACUGUGCGUGGAGCGGUGAAAUGCGUUGAUAUGCACAGGAACUCCGGUGGCGAAAGCGCGCUGCUGGACCUCUUCUGACGCUGAGGCGCGAAAGCCAGGGGAGCAAACGGG
rnacentral:rRNA from 1 species